GUCAGUCUUCUGGUCAGAGCUGGUCUCUCUUCUCUGGUGACAGGUGGUCCUGAGGUCGGUUGUCUCCCCUACAUGGAUGGAUGUUGGGAUCUAGCUGACCUCUCCUGUAGUCAGACUUCCGAGCGGACCUGGACCUUUUCGCAUGCUGCUUGUGCUGUUCUGCUAACAACAACAUACUUCUUUUCUUGACAGCAGGCUCAGAGUUGGAUUCUUCAGCUGUAACAGUUGCUGGCCGUAGUAUCCGUGUUGGACAUGGUCUGUCUCCAGUAUCUGUUGUUACCAGGGAAAGGCCGUCAGGACUGGGCUUGGUGAUCAGCUGAAAU